UACGGGGGAGCAAGCGUUGUUCGGAUUUACUGGGCGUAAAGGGCGCGUAGGCGGCCAGCACAAGUCAGUUGUGAAAGUCUCCGGGCUUAACCCGGAAAGGUCAGCCGAUACUGCGGGGCUAGAGUGCAGAAGGGGCAACUGGAAUUCUCGGUGUAGCGGUGAAAUGCGUAGAUAUCGAGAGGAACACCUGCGGCGAAGGCGGGUUGCUGGGCUGACACUGACGCUGAUGCGCGAAAGCUAGGGGAGCGAACGGG
rnacentral:rRNA from 1 species